rnacentral:rRNA from 1 species
CCGAUGACAUCUGAAAUGAAGCAAAGAUUUAUCGGUAUAGGAUGGGGAUGCGUCUGAUUAGGUUGUUGGCGGGUAACGGCCCACCAAGCCUACGAUCAGUAGGGGUUCUGAGAGGAAGGUCCCCCACAUUGGAACUGAGACACGGUCCAAACUCCUACGGGAGGCAGCAGUGAGGAAUAUUGGUCAAUGGACGAGAGUCUGAACCAGCCAAGUAGCGUGCAGGAUGACGGCCCUAUGGGUUGUAAACUGCUUUUAUAUAGGGAUAAAGUGAUCUACGUGUAGAUUUUUGUAGGUACUAUAUGAAUAAGGACCGGCUAAUUCCGUGCC